rnacentral:rRNA from 1 species
AACGAACGCUGGCGGCAGGCUUAACACAUGCAAGUCGAACGGUAACAGGUCUUCGGAUGCUGACGAGUGGCGAACGGGUGAGUAAUACAUCGGAACGUGCCCGAUCGUGGGGGAUAACGAAGCGAAAGCUUUGCUAAUACCGCAUAAGAUCUAAGGAUGAAAGCAGGGGACCGCAAGGCCUUGCGCGAACGGAGCGGCCGAUGGCAGAUUAGGUAGUUGGUGGGAUAGAAGCUUACCAAGCCGACGAUCUGUAGCUGGUCUGAGAGGACGACCAGCCACACUGGGACUGAGACACGUCCCAGACUCCUACGGGAGGCAGCAGUGGGGAAUUUUGGACAAUGGGCGAAAGCCUGAUCCAGCCAUGCCGCGUGCAGGAUGAAGGCCUUCGGGUUGUAAACUGCUUUUGUACGGAACGAAAAGACCCUGGUUAAUACCUGGGGUCCAUGACGGUACCGUAAGAAUAAGCACCGGCUAACUACGUGCCAGCAGCCGCCGUAACAC